CGCGUAGGUGGUCAGGCAGGUCAGUGGUGAAAGCCCCCGACCCAAUCGGGGAAUUGCCUCUGAAACCUCCUGACUGGAGUGCAAAAGGGGAGAGUGGAACUCGAGGUGGAGCGGUGAUAUGCGUAGAUAUCUCGGGGAACGCCGGUGGCGAAAGCGACUCUCUGGUUUGUUACUGACACUGAUGCGCGAAAGCCAGGGGAGCAAACG
rnacentral:rRNA from 1 species